rnacentral:rRNA from 1 species
GGACGGUGGCCAUGGAAGUCGGAACCCGCUAAGGAGUGUGUAACAACCCACCUGCCGAAUGAACUAGCCCUGAAAAUGGAUGGCGCUGAAGCGGAUCACUUAUACUUGACCAACACAGCAAAUGCGAGGCUGUGUUGAGUAGGGAGGCGUGGGGCUCGUUGUGCAUUCUGUGGCGUAAGCCGGGAUGAAACGGGCUCUAGUGCAGAUCUUGGUAGCAGUAGCAAAUAUUCAAAUGAGAAC